GAGGACACUCGGCCGUGCUUCUCGCUCAACCAAUUUAUAUCGUCAGGUGACAAAAUAGGGGAAGGGGGGGGAAAAAAAAACAUCAAAUAAAAUGCAGGAGCAGCCUCCUGGAGCAAGAGGCGGCAAUAAGAGGCGCAGGUGGCCCCCUUGGCGAUGAUAAAUUCCGAGUGAUUUAUGGGUGACAGCAAUGCUUCUUUGGCACGUCACUUACGACCUUGAGGCAACAAGCUGAAUCAACAUCUCCUCUGCUGUUGGCAACAAAGUUGGGUUGUCCUGGCGUCGCUUCUGAGACGAGAAUGGUGGCUCUUCACCCAGGCCCCGUGUUCUUUCCGAUGUGUAAUUGCUCCGCCGCAGAGACAAAACAAAAUGCUGUCGACAUUGUUCAGGGGAGUGUCGGCGACGUCCAAGGGUGAUUGAUUCUCAACGAGCGUGUCAUUACCAAUGAGGAGACGCAGAAACAGGACAUUUGUGGCGGCACGGUGGAUCAGCUGGUAAAGCGUUGGCCUCACAGUUCCCGAUCCCGCCUGUGUGGAGUUUACAUGUUCUCCGCUUGCCUGCGUGGGUUUCCUCCGGGCACUCCG